rnacentral:lncRNA from 1 species
UCGUCUCAACCUAACUCACCACCUCCUCCAAACGCCUUCUUAAUUCCACCAAUCCCUUCACCCUCCAUGCCACAAUAGCUGUUAGCUACGGAUAAUAUUCAACUUGAAUUGGACAUAGCUCAAACACCACUAUAACAGGGAAAGAGAACACACACAGAACAAACAAACAAACAAACAAAAAACAGCUUUAGGUUACUGGAAUAUUUGGAAACGAGCCAUACAUCUCCUGCAUUCUUCUAAAAAGCCCUAAAAAAUAAACACCAAAACCAAAACUGGCGUAGGUAUUUUACCGACAAAGAGUAAAGAAAAUUGCAGGGAAUCCGUCUUCCAAGCAUGAAUUGCUGUCACCACAACGGAGAACAUCGCCGAAAGCAGCAGCCAUGGCAGUAUCAAAGGCAGAUACUGGUAGUACAUCUUCCAUACCGGCACUCUUGUCUCCUCAAAUCGGAGCGGAAUCCGAGGCGCAGAUGGAUUUGUGUAGACCAUCACUGCUGAGUGCGUUCCGCUUCUAAGAAACACGUAACUGAAACAUCAAAAAGUAGCACCCGAAAGGAGCCUUGUAACACCCUAAACCCUAGCCCUAAAACCUGGUAGACACUCAUGCCUUCCAAUUUAACCCGUCAAAUUGGUCUCUGAAAAACUUCGCACAGUCCACAACAACCGUCCUCCGACUAAAAACUAUCGAAGGGGCCCACACUCGUCUGCAACAGACAAAGCCAAUUGAGUCACGAGGAAUUGCAACAAUUGGCGCAGGCCAUUCCCGAAUAGAACCAUCGGCCUUCCUGGCCAUUCAAAACAACGUCCACCUUCGAACUUGAAACUAGC